CCCCCCAAUAUCCUGAUGGUACAUCCUGCUCGGGAAGACAUUAAAAUCUGCGAUUUUGGCUUUGCCCAAAACAUCACCCCAGGAGAGCCACAGUACAGCAAGUAUGGCUCCCCAGAAUUUGUGUCUCCCGAGAUCAUCGAGCAGACCCCAGUGAGCGAGGCCUCCGACAUCUGGUGAGUGAGUGGGUGCCUGGGGAGGCCAGCUUCCAUGCCAGCAGCCCCCCAGCACACACACCCCACAACCUCGAGCACACCCUGUGACUGUGGUUUUGUUCCUGCAGGUCCAUGGGCGUCAUCUCCUACCUCAGGUGAGCAGACCCAAGCCUACCGCAGGUGAGCAGACCCAAGCCUUUGUCAGCCACCUCCUCUGAAGCCAACCCCAGACCCCCUCCCCAUCAUGCCCAGGGGAGGCCUUGAGCACUACUGGCCACUCCCCAGAUCAAAGAUCCAGGACCCCAAGGGCAGCUAUUAUGGGAACCAGCGGUCAGCCAACUGAUAAGGGGUUUCUGCUGAGCUCUUUUCUUACACGCACUGUCCCAGAGAAGCUCUGUGGAGUCACCAGGCAAAGCAGUGAGCUGUUUCCCUAAAGGGUCUGGGUAGUUUGCUGGAGGGCCCCUUCCACCAAUUACUGCUAUUCUGAGCAUGUUGCUGGUGUAGACCUCACCUGGAUCCCACCUCAAGCUAAGCCUUGAUCCCUGUCCUGGGCUGAGCCUGGAUCUCUGGGCAAGUCUCAGACCAUUGUGGGAAUCCUGGGGUCUGGAUGGCCAUGGCACUGUGGCCACCCAGGCAGGAGUGGGGCCCCCGUACAAGUUCUGGCUUCUAUGGAUCACAAGUCCAGGUCACAUCUGAAGGCAAGUCAUGUCUCUGCCUCUAGCCUGACCUGCUCAUCACCAUUCGCUGGUGAGAGUGACCGAGCCACACUCCUGAACGUGCUGGAGGGGCGGGUGUCCUGGAACAGCCCCAUGACUGCCCACCUCAGCAAGGAUGCCCAGGACUUCAUCAAGGCUACCCUGCAAAGGGCCCCAAAGUGAGUGCACAGCACCCUCCACCUGUUGCCUCAUCUGGGGUUCUCUUAGGCGGAGGCCUGGGGCAGCUGGCCACCUGGCCUGAUCCCCGGCCCUCCUCUCUCACUAGGGCCCGGCCCAGCGCAGCCAAAUGCCUCACACACCCCUGGUUCCAGGUGAGUAGGCUGGGUCCAAGCAGAUGUGCACAGGGGGCCAAUCUGAGGGGGGGAGGGGAGGCCUGUGUGGACCCAGGGUGCACUGGGGCCCCCCUUAUCGCCCCUCUCACCUGGGCCCCCUCAGACUUCCGUGCCCGCGGAGGAGGCCCACUUCAUCAACACCAAGCAACUCAAGUUUCUGCUGGCCCGCAGCCGCUGGCAGCGCUCCCUGAUGAGCUACAAGUCCAUCCUGGUGAUGCGCUCCAUCCCCGAGCUGCUCCGGGGCCCGCCCGACAGCCCGUCCCUCGGGGUGGCGCGGCACCUGCGCGGUGGCGCCAGCGCCUCCUCCAGCAGCUCGUCCUCCUCCUCCGACAACGAGCUGGCCCCUUUCGCCCGGGCCAAGUCGCUGCCGCCGUCUCCGGUGACCCACUCGCCGCUGCUGCACCCGCGGGGC
rnacentral:lncRNA from 1 species